rnacentral:rRNA from 1 species
GAUGAACGCUGGCGGCGUGCUUAAUACAUGCAAGUCGAACGAAGCUCCUUGUCUUCGGAUUAGGAGACUUAGUGGCGAACGGGUGCGUAACGCGUUGGUAACCUGCCCCAAAGCGGGGGAUAACAGUCCGAAAGGACUGCUAAUACCUCAUGUGGUCAUCAGGGUUAGAUACCUGAUGAUUAAAGGAGUAAUCCACUUUGGGAGGGGCCUGCGUCCCAUCAGCUAGUUGGUAGGGUAAUGGCCUACCAAGGCGAUGACGGGUAGGGGACCUGAGAGGGUGGCCCCCCACACUGGCACUGAAAUACGGGCCAGACACCUACGGGUGGCAGCAGUAGGGAAUAUUGGACAAUGGGCGAAAGCCUGAUCCAGCAACGCCGCGUGCACGAUGACGGUCUUCGGAUUGUAAAGUGCUUUUAAGGGAGAUGAGAAAGGACAGUAUCCAUUGAA